rnacentral:rRNA from 1 species
UACGUAGGCAGCAAGCGUUGUUCGGAGUUACUGGGCGUAAAGGGUGUGUAGGCGGUUGUUUAAGUUUGGUGUGAAAUCUCCCGGCUCAACUGGGAGGGUGCGCCGAAUACUGAAUGACUAGAGUGCGGGAGAGGAAAGUGGAAUUCCUGGUGUAGCGGUGAAAUGCGUAGAUAUCAGGAGGAACACCGGUGGUGUAGACGGCUUUCUGGACCGUAACUGACGCUGAGACACGAAAGCUUGGGUAGCAAACAGG